rnacentral:rRNA from 1 species
AGGUAAGCUACUAAGAGCGAAUGGUGGAUGCCUUGACUGGUAAAGGCGAUGAAGGACGUACUAGACUGCGAUAAGCUACGGGGAGCUGUCAAGAAGCUUUGAUCCGUAGAUUUCCGAAUGGGGCAACCCAAUGUAUAGAGAUAUACAUUACCUAUAUAGGAGCGAACGAGGGGAAUUGAAACAUCUUAGUACUCUCAGGAAAAGAAAUCAAUAGAGAUUGCGUCAGUAGCGGCGAGCGAAAGCGCAAGAGGGCAAACCCAGUGCUUGCACUGGGGGUUGUAGGACUGCAAUGUGCAAGAGGUAAGUUUAGCAGAACAUUCUGGAAAGUAUAACCAUAGAGGGUGAUAGUCCCGUAUGCGAAAAACAAACCUUAGCUAGCAGUAUCCUGAGUAGGGCGGGACACGAGGAAUCCUGUCUGAAUCCGGGUCGACCACGAUCCAACCCUAAAUACUAAUACCAGAUCGAUAGUGCACAAGUACCGUGAGGGAAAGGUGAAAAGAACUGAGGUGAUCAGAGUGAAAUAGAACCUGAAACCAUUUGCUUACAAUCAUUCAGAGCCCUAUGUAGCAAUACAGGGUGAUGGACUGCCUUUUGCAUAAUGAGCCUGCGAGUUGUGGUGUCUGGCAAGGUUAAGCAAACGCGAAGCCGUAGCGAAAGCGAGUCUGAAUAGGGCGCUUAGUCAGAUGCUGCAGACCCGAAACGAAGUGAUCUAUCCAUGAGCAAGUUGAAGCUAGUGUAAGAACUAGUGGAGGACUGAACCCAUAGGCGUUGAAAAGCCCCGGGAUGACUUGUGGAUAGGGGUGAAAGGCCAAUCAAACUUCGUGAUAGCUGGUUCUCUCCGAAAUAUAUUUAGGUAUAGCGUUGUGUCGUAAUAUAAGGGGGUAGAGCACUGAAUGGGCUAGGGCAUACACCAAUGUACCAAACCCUAUCAAACUCCGAAUACCUUAUAUGUAAUCACAGCAGUCAGGCGGCGAGUGAUAAAAUCCGUCGUCAAGAGGGAAACAACCCAGACUACCAGCUAAGGUCCCUAAAUCUUACUUAAGUGGAAAACGAUGUGAAGUUACUUAAACAACCAGGAGGUUGGCUUAGAAGCAGCCAUCCUUUAAAGAAAGCGUAAUAGCUCACUGGUCUAGUGAUUUUGCGCGGAAAAUAUAACGGGGCUAAAGUAAGUACCGAAGCUGUAGACUUAGUUUACUAAGUGGUAGGAGAGCGUUCUAUUUGCGUCGAAGGUAUACCGGUAAGGAGUGCUGGAGCGAAUAGAAGUGAGCAUGCAGGCAUGAGUAGCGAUAAUUAAUGUGAGAAUCAUUAACGCCGUAAACCCAAGGUUUCCUACGCGAUGCUCGUCAUCGUAGGGUUAGUCGGGUCCUAAGUCGAGUCCGAAAGGGGUAGACGAUGGCAAAUUGGUUAAUAUUCCAAUACCAACAUUAGUGUGCGAUGGAAGGACGCUUAGGGCUAAGGGGGCUAGCGGAUGGAAGUGCUAGUCUAAGGUCGUAGGAGGUUAUACAGGCAAAUCCGUAUAACAAUACUCCGAGAACUGAAAGGCUUUUUGAAGUCUUCGGAUGGAUAGAAGAACCCCUGAUGCCGUCGAGCCAAGAAAAGUUUCUAAGUUUAGCUAAUGUUGCCCGUACCGUAAACCGACACAGGUGGGUGGGAUGAGUAUUCUAAGGCGCGUGGAAGAACUCUCUUUAAGGAACUCUGCAAAAUAGCACCGUAUCUUCGGUAUAAGGUGUGGUUAGCUUUGUAUUAGGAUUUACUCCGAAAGCAAGGAAACUUACAACAAAGAGUCCCUCCCGACUGUUUACCAAAAACACAGCACUCUGCUAACUCGUAAGAGGAUGUAUAGGGUGUGACGCCUGCCCGGUGCUCGAAGGUUAAUUGAUGGGGUUAGCAUUAGCGAAGCUCUUGAUCGAAGCCCGAGUAAACGGCGGCCGUAACUAUAACGGUCCUAAGGUAGCGAAAUUCCUUGUCGGUUAAAUACCGACCUGCAUGAAUGGCGUAACGAGAUGGGAGCUGUCUCAAAGAGGGAUCCAGUGAAAUUGUAGUGGAGGUGAAAAUUCCUCCUACCCGCGGCAAGACGGAAAGACCCCGUGGACCUUUACUACAGCUUGACACUGCUACUUGGAUAAGAAUGUGCAGGAUAGGUGGGAGGCUUUGAGUAUAUGACGCCAGUUGUAUAUGAGCCAUUGUUGAGAUACCACUCUUUCUUAUUUGGGUAGCUAACCAGCUUGAGUUAUCCUCAAGUGGGACAAUGUCUGGUGGGUAGUUUGACUGGGGCGGUCGCCUCCCAAAUAAUAACGGAGGCUUACAAAGGUUGGCUCAGAACGGUUGGAAAUCGUU